AGAGAGAGAGAGAGAGAGAGAGGGAGGAGAUGAUGAAGCUGAAAGUAUAUGCAGAUCGAAUGUCCCAGCCUUCACGGGCAGUUAUCAUCUUUUGCAAGGUAAACGGGAUAGACUUUGAGGAGGUCAGAAUAGACGUAAGCAAGCGCCAGCAGUUAUCUCCUGAAUUCAAAGAAAUAAACCCUAUGGGAAAAGUGCCAGCUAUAGUUGAUGGACGAUUCAAGCUGUUUGAAAGCCAUGCAAUCCUUAUCUAUCUUGCUUGUGUGUUUCCUGGAGUUGCUGAUCAUUGGUAUCCGGCUGAUCUUUUCAAGAGAGUUAAGAUUCAAUCAGUGUUGGAUUGGCACCACUCUAAUUUACGCCGGGGAGCAGCUACAUAUGUUUUCAAUACUACACUGGCACCUGCAUCUGGCCUACCUCUGAAUCCACAAGCUGCUGCUGAAGCUGAGAAAGUUCUCUCUUCAUCCCUGUCAAAGAUAGAAUCCUUUUGGCUCAAGGGAAGCGGACGAUUUUUGCUAGGUGGCAAUCAACCAACUAUAGCAGAUCUAAGCCUUGUCUGUGAAAUAAUGCAACUGGAGGUUUUGGAUGAAUAUGAUCGCAGUCGAAUAAUUGCUCCAUAUAAGAAAGUUCAGCAAUGGAUUGAGGACACAAGACAGGCAACAAGGCCUCACUUUGAUGAAGUGCAUAAAAUCCUAUUUAAAGCCAAAGCAAGACUGCAAAAGCAGCGGUCAGUGGGGGAAAACAUUGAGACUCAAUCAAGCUUGAAAACAACAUUGUCCUCAAAGAUGUAAAAAUUGUUUGACGUUUAUGUUUGCCCAAAUAAAUGUAUCAAGUAUUUAGGGGUUUGUCUUGUAU
rnacentral:misc_RNA from 1 species